rnacentral:lncRNA from 1 species
GCCGGAAAGCCUGACCGAAAUUCAUAAUGGGUGACAUGUUUGAAAAGAAACAUGUGUUCAUGCAAGUUAUAAAUAAAUCAUAACAUGCAUCUUUCAGUUGCAAAAAAGACUAAAUUCCUUUAUUCCUUGUGACGAACAAAAUUUGAUUAAACUAUCUUUUGGUAUUGAUAUCCAUAUGAAUAAAAGACGAUCUAGGGUAUUAUUCAAUGAGAAAGCAACCCAACGACAAAAAUAGAAAAAAAAAUGAUCAAUAGUUCCUCUUAUAUAAUCAAUUUUAUUUAGAAUGCCUCAUUAAAACUUUGUUGUUCAUUUGGACGUAAAACACAAACAAUCAAUCAAUCAUUUAUUGGUCUCUUAGAUAACAGAUAGAUAUAUUUGAUUGUACUGACAGUCUGUGGUACAAAACGAUAAAACAAUCUGAUGUUGAAUAUUGAUUGUACCAUGUUGAUACUGGCUUAAUUAUAUAAAGUUAAUCCUACAGUGAUUACAAUGCUCUCAAAAAGAAUGUAAUCGAUGACCAACAUUCCUAGAAUGUCAAUACUACUAAAAAAAAAAGGAGAAAACGAAAAACCUGUGUGAAUUUCAUGAACCCCAAUAAAACGCCAGACCGGUUGCGUCGACAGGUUAAACAUCCAUAUCUGUGUGUAUAUCCACUAUAUCUACAUCUGUGUGUACCAUCCACUAGCAAUUCAAUAUUCAGUCCAAUAUUCCAAAAUCUCUUAAGAAUUGCAGAUAAAUCUAAGAC